GCUUAUGGCCAUACCACCCUGAGAACGCCCGAUCUCGUCUGAUCUCGGAAGCUAAGCAGGGUCGGGUCUGGUUAGUACUUGGAUGGGAGACCGCCUGGGAAUACCAGGUGCUGUAGGCU
rnacentral:rRNA from 1 species